rnacentral:rRNA from 1 species
CAGUAGCCGCGGGAAUACGUAGGUGGCAAGCGUUGUCCGGAAUUAUUGGGCGUAAAGGGCUCGCAGGCGGUUUCUUAAGUCUGAUGUGAAAGCCCCCGGCUCAACCGGGGAGGGUCAUUGGAAACUGGGAAACUUGAGUGCAGAAGAGGAGAGUGGAAUUCCACGUGUAGCGGUGAAAUGCGUAGAGAUGUGGAGGGACACCAGUGGCGAAGGCGACUCUCUGGUCUGUAACUGACGCUGAGGAGCGAAAGCGUGGGGAGCGAACAGGAUUAGAUACCCCCGUAGUCCCUGUCUCUUAUAC